GUCGAGAAUCAUUCACAAUGGGGGAAACCCUGAUGGUGUGACGCCGCGUGGAGGAUGAAGGUCUUCGGAUUGUAAACUCCUGUCAUGUGGGAGUAAAGCCGGGUGUUAAAUGCAUGCCGGUCUGAGAGUACCACAAGAGGAAGGGACGGCUAACUCUGUGCCAGCAGCCGCGGUAAUACAGAGGUCCCAAGCGUUGUUCGGAAUCACUGGGCGUAAAGGGUGCGUAGGCGGCGCGGAGAGUCAGGGGUGAAAUCCCGGAGCUCAACUCCGGAACUGCCUUUGAUACUCCCGCGCUUGAGAACUGGAGGGGAGACCGGAAUUCACGGUGGAGCAGUGAAAUGCGUGGAUAUCGUGAGGAACACUAGUGGCGAAGGCGGGUCUCUGGACAGUAUCUGACGCUGAGGCACGAAGGCCAGGGGAGCGAACGGGAUUAGAUACCCCGGUAGUCC
rnacentral:rRNA from 1 species